rnacentral:rRNA from 1 species
CCCUUAGAUGUUCUGGGCUGCACGCGCGCUACACUGAUACUUUCAGCGAGUCCACCACCUUGCCUGAGAGGGUGGGGUAACCUCUGGAAAGUGUAUCGUGAUGGGGAUCGAUUAUUGUAAUUAUUAAUCUUCAACGAGGAAUUCCUAGUAAGCAUGUGUCAUCAGCCCGUGCUGAUUACGUCCCUGCCCUUUGUACACACCGCCCGUCGCUACUACCGAUUGAACGGUUUAGUGAGGGCCUCGGAUUGGUCUCGGCCCGCUCUUUACCGGGCGGCGCCGUUGGUCGAGAAGACGCUCGAACUUGAUCGUUUAGAGGAAGUAAAAGUCGUAACA